rnacentral:rRNA from 1 species
CCUACGGGCCGCAGCAGUGGGGAAUAUUGGACAAUGGGCGAAAGCCUGAUCCAGCAAUGCCGCGUGUGUGAAGAAGGUCUUCGGAUUGUAAAGCACUUUCGACAGGGACGUUGAUGACGGUACCCGUAGAAGAAGCCCCGGCUAACUUCGUGCCAGCAGCCGCGGUAAUACGAAGGGGGCUAGCGUUGCUCGGAAUGACUGGACGUAAAGGGCGCGUAGGCGGUUUAUGCAGUCAGAUGUGAAAUCCCCGGACUUAACCUGGGAACUGCAUUUGAGACGCAUAGACUAGAGGUCGAGAGAGGGUUGUGGAAUUCCAGUGUAGAGGUGAAAUUCGUAGAUAUUGGGAAGAACACCGGUGGCGAAGGCGGCAACCUGGCUCGAUACUGACGCUGAGGCGCGAAAGCGUGGGGAGCAAACAGGAUUAGAUACCCUCGUAGUC